rnacentral:misc_RNA from 1 species
GAAAUACGAUAAUUAAUGUGAAUUGCAGAAUUCAGUGAAUCAUCGAGUCUUUGAACGCACAUUGCGCCCCCUGGUAUUCCGGGGGGCAUGCCUGUCCGAGCGUCAUUGCUGCCCUCAAGCACGGCUUGUGUGUUGGGCUUCCGUCCCUGGCAACGGGGACGGGCCCAAAAGGCAGUGGCGGCACCAUGUCUGGUCCUCGAGCGUAUGGGGCUUUGUCACCCGCUCCCGUAGGUCCAGCUGGCAGCUAGCCUCGCAACCAAUCUUUUUAACCAGGUUGACCUCGGAUCAGGUAGGGAUACCCGCUGAACUUAAGC